GUGGGGAAUAUUGGACAAUGGGCGAAAGCCUGAUCCAGCCAUGCCGCGUGUGUGAAGAAGGUCUUCGGAUUGUAAAGCACUUUAAGUUGGGAGGAAGGGCAGUAAGUUAAUACCUUGCUGUUUUGACGUUACCGACAGAAUAAGCACCGGCUAACUUCGUGCCAGCAGCCGCGGUAAUACGAAGGGUGCAAGCGUUAAUCGGAAUUACUGGGCGUAAAGCGCGCGUAGGUGGUUUUGUAAGUUGGAGGUGAAAUCCCCGGGCUCAACCUGGGAACUGACUCCAAAACUGCAUGACUAGAGUACGGUAGAGGGUAGUGGAAUUUCCUGUGUAGCGGUGAAAUGCGUCGAUAUAGGAAGGAACACCAGUGGCGAAGGCGACUACCUGGACUGAUACUGACACUGAGGUGCGAAAGCGUGGGGAGCAAACAGGAUUAGAAACCCUUGUAGUCC
rnacentral:rRNA from 1 species